rnacentral:sRNA from 1 species
GGGGAAGAUCCCCAUUCGGUAUGGGUGAAAGCAGGACAGUAGAAAUUCUGUAGCAGCAGAAGUUGUCCACAGUGCUUCUGCCCUGGGAAGAUGGACUGAAGGACCCUGCAAAGAUAGGCUGACGGAUCUGGGAAGAUAGACUGAAGAGCCACCACAACUGAUAGCCUAAUCUAGGUGACAACGAGCCUGUGUGUGAUUCUGGAUCUGCUUCUUCAUUGUCUGAUUGGGCUAAAUAAAUUGAUAAGACUCAAUUCAGCACAAGAAAGAGGAGGAAACUCUGACAUGCUAUUGAAUACUCUGAAGAACAUUACCAGUUAUGCUUUUGAAGAUUUCUGGGAUAUCACCUCCAACAGUGGUCACUGCUAACAGAAGCAUAUGGGGAUAAUGCUUUGAGAGAGAGAGAAGAGCCUUUACUCUUUAUUACAGAGAAUUAUGAUUUGUCUCAAUAUUUUCUUUAACAAUGUGUGUUUAAUUAAUAGCACAUGAUAAAUGCAGUACAUUUUGUCAUCUACACAGAAUUGUUUUGAAAGAAUAAAAAGGAGUCCAUUUAAAUGUCUUUCAAUUUGUUUUGGUGGAGAAGGGCUCACCAUAGGAAGGCUCAUCUAUGUAGCAAAAUAAAAACCUCAUCUCCUCUGUCCAAACUGUCACAUGGCAGAGCCUCUGAUAUUAGGCCUAUUGUGACUUUUGAAAUUAGUCAUGGAGGCACUCUGUGUUGACUAUUC